GACGAAUGCUGGCGGCGUGCUUAACACAUGCAAGUCGAACGGAAAGGCCCUGCUUUUGUGGGGUGCUCGAGUGGCGAACGGGUGAGUAACACGUGAGUAACCUGCCCUUGACUUUGGGAUAACUUCAGGAAACUGGGGCUAAUACCGGAUAGGAGCUCCUGCUGCAUGGUGGGGGUUGGAAAGUUUCGGCGGUUGGGGAUGGACUCGCGGCUUAUCAGCUUGUUGGUGGGGUAGUGGCUUACCAAGGCUUUGACGGGUAGCCGGCCUGAGAGGGUGACCGGCCACAUUGGGACUGAGAUACGGCCCAGACUCCUACGGGAGGCAGCAGUGGGGAAUAUUGCACAAUGGGCGGAAGCCUGAUGCAGCAACGCCGCGUGCGGGAUGACGGCCUUCGGGUUGUAAACCGCUUUCGCCUGUGACGAAGCGUGAGUGACGGUAAUGGGUAAAGAAGCACGGGCUAACUACGUG
rnacentral:rRNA from 1 species